rnacentral:tRNA from 1 species
GUCUGGGUGGUAUAGUCGGUUAUCACGCUAGUCUCACACAGUAGAGGUCCCCGAUUCAAACCCGGGCUCAGACA